AGCGAACGCUGGCGGCAGGCUUAACACAUGCAAGUCGAACGGGCUCUUCGGAGCUAGUGGCAGACGGGUGAGUAACGCGGGGGAACGUGCCUUUCGGUUCGGAAUAACUCAGGGAAACUUGAACUAAUACCGGAUACGCCCUUCGGGGGAAAGAUUUAUCGCCGAAAGAUCGGCCCGCGUCUGAUUAGCUAGUUGGUGAGGUAAUGGCUCACCAAGGCGACGAUCAGUAGCUGGUCUGAGAGGAUGAUCAGCCACAUUGGGACUGAGACACGGCCCAAAGUCCUACGGGAGGCAGCAGUGGGGAAUAUUGGACAAUGGGCGCAAGCCUGAUCCAGCCAUGCCGCGUGAGUGAUGAAGGCCUUAGGGUUGUAAAGCUCUUUUGUCCGGGAAGAUAAUGACUGUACCGGAAGAAUAAGCCCCGGCUAACUUCGUGCCAGCCGCCGCGGUAACAC
rnacentral:rRNA from 1 species